GUGGGGAAUAUUGGACAAUGGGGGGAACCCUGAUCCAGCCAUGCCGCGUGUGUGAAGAAGGCCUUAUGGUUGUAAAGCACUUUAAGCGAGGAGGAGGCUUACCUAGUUAAUACCUGGGAUAAGUGGACGUUACUCGCAGAAUAAGCACCGGCUAACUCUGUGCCAGCAGCCGCGGUAAUACAGAGGGUGCAAGCGUUAAUCGGAUUUACUGGGCGUAAAGCGCGCGUAGGCGGCCAAUUAAGUCAAAUGUGAAAUCCCCGAGCUUAACUUGGGAAUUGCAUUCGAUACUGGUUGGCUAGAGUGUGGGAGAGGAUGGUAGAAUUCCAGGUGUAGCGGUGAAAUGCGUAGAGAUCUGGAGGAAUACCGAUGGCGAAGGCAGCCAUCUGGCCUAACACUGACGCUGAGGUGCGAAGCAUGGGGAGCAAACAGGAUUAGAUACCCUAGUAGUCC
rnacentral:rRNA from 1 species